AUGCUGAAAAUUAAGAGAGCUGGCGAUGAUCUAACAGAAAGCUCUAAAAAGAACAGGAGAAUCUGCACUGACGGAGCAGAGACACUUGAUCUGUUGACUUCAGGUGACUUACAUCCGGAUGGCAGUUCGGAAGAACCGAUUGAUAGCUUUAGUGAUUCUGGUCAAAGUGUCUGGAGUGAGCUCAGUAAAGAAGUCACCUCAAAAAUUUCUAGAACUGUUGUCUCCCUUGCUUUGUAUGAUGGACAUUCGGUGUUAUUUGCAUGCUCAGGCAUAGCCUUGCAAUGUGGGAUGCAAGCCACAAGGUUCCUGACUUCAGCAAGUUUGAUUAAAGCUUUCAAUGAUAAAAAAAGAGAAGGCCAUGAUAGCUUGAAAAUUGAAGUGCGUCGCAACGGUGAUGUUGCCAGAGGGUUAUUGGGAUACUAUGAUUUGGAUCAGGGGAUUGCUCUUGUCUACAUAGUGUUCGUCACCCUUGGUGUUCAUCCAGUGGGUCUUGAUCAUCAGGUGGAAUUGCUUCCCAGUAUGAAGGUACUAGCUGUCGCGCGUGCCAAUUCUGACACAUUAAUGGCCACAAGUGGGAUAUUACCCGAUGAUUCAAGUGGAUCUGAAGAUGGCAAACAACUUAUGCUUUCCACUUGUAAAAUCUCUGAGGCUUGGGAAGGUGGGCCACUUUUUGAUUAUGACGGGAACCUUUUUGGCAUGAACCUUUCUUUGGUUGCGGAAAGAACUUCCUUCGUGCCAAGGAGUACAAUUGUCAAAUGGUUGGAGAAAUUCAAGCCAAAAAGGGAAGUUGAGAGGUUCAGUUCCCACAAGGAUAUGAAAAUACAGAGGCCAGUGCAGCCCAUACCAUAUUGCACCUAUGCAAGAGACAGAUCUGGUGAUCUAGACUCCUUGGGUUAUCCAAAGCCAUCGAAAACUAUUGUCAGUGAGGGCUUGGUUUUGGUUAAUACCUUCGAAGAGAUUUUUGGUGACAUAUAUGAUUCUGGUAAAGAUAUCUGGAGCCAACUCACAGAAAUGGGUUCUCAUAGUUUACCUCGACGAGUUGUCGCACUCGCUUCAUUCAGCGGAGAAAGGAGGUUUUUCGCAUGCACAGGCUUAUUUAUUGAAUGGAAUGGAUGCACCCCCAUUCUGACUUCAGCGAGUUUGGUUAGGGAUCCUAAAGAUGGAAACAAGAUUGCUGAAAAAUUGAAGAUUGAAGUUUUGCUUCCAAACAAUAAAUACAAAGAAGGGGAACUGCAAUAUUGUAAUUUACACUACAAUGUUGCUCUUGUCGUUGUCAAGGAUUUCUGCUGUCUUCGUCCAGUUAGAAUUCACGAAGAUUGGUGGAAUCCUCUAAUUCUGGAAGAUUCCAAGGUACUAGCUGUGGGGCGCUGCUUCAAAUCUGGCAAGUUAAUGGCUACACAUGGAAGACUAACUGACUGGUCAGGCGUGCUUGACUACAGAGAUCUUAGGUACUCCAGUUGUAAGAUCACUAAGGCUGGGAUUGGUGGGCCUCUGAUUGACUUUAAAGGGAGAUUUGUUGGCAUGAACUUCUAUGAUAAGAAAAUAGGAACCCCGUUCUUGUUCAGGGAUUGUAUUAUUCGAGUGCUGGCACAUUUUAAGGAAAAUGGGACUGUUGAAGUUGGCAGUGGUAAACCAAUCAGGUGGCCGGUGCCCAUACCGUGUUGGCGCCAUCCGGACGAUGAGCUCAAAGAUUCGCUCCCACCUGGCCACGGGGAAAAAUCUGGGAGGUUUGGAUUCACAUAUGUGGAUGGAGACAGGGUUGACAACCAUUAG
rnacentral:rRNA from 1 species